GCUUCGACACCUGGGGUGUUGUUCAGUGCGUGUUGUUUCUUCCUCCGACACCUGGGUUGCUUCUCAGUGCUAUCGUGUCUUUGCUACUUCACUCCACAGAGAGGGAGAUAGUGAAGGAAGUGGUGCUGAGAAUUGCGCAUCCGCUUCUGACGACUUUUGGCAAUAUCAGCUGCAAUCGAUUUGCGGCUAAUUCAUCUGGAACAUCUGUAGAUUUUGAAGCUUCACAGCAUAUUUGAGGACAGCGAAAGAGAGAAAAGAAGGAGAAGAGAGAGGGGAAAAUCUUGAUUAAAACUAAUCAAGCCAACCAAUAAAAUUGUAACAUUCCUGCUAUAGGAUUAUAUCCAGUGCUUUCCGUGUUGAAUAACCGCAGUUUCUCCCUAGAAGAUUACAUUUGUCAUCAAAACUUGGUAACUAAAGACUCACACUUGGUCAGGAUAAAACUAAAUGUUCAAUCCUUCGAAUCAUUACUUUCACCAAUAGUACUAUCUCCUACAAUCGAAAACCUAUGCAUCCAAGCUAGCCAGCAAAAUUUAGUUAGGGCUAUAAAUGAGUUCCAACAAAGUUUAGCUGACUGGUUUGAAUGGAUCGGUUCUCGACAGUGGCACAUAGUAAGAAUCAGUUACGCCAGAAUAUCAAGUAAAACCAACUGUCCACAGCUUAAGGACCACUAUCAGCUUUGAUGAAGCUGCACUUGCACAAAUUCCUCAAGCAACCAUCACAAGUUGGCACAAUCCAGCAAAUUAAUCUAGCAGCUGCAUUCACAACAACUUUUUAGCUGCUACAUUCAUUUGCUAAAGCCACUGCAAUAUUAAUAUUGGCCCUCAAGCAACCAUCACAAGUUGGCACAAUCCAGCAAAUUAAUCUAGCAGCUGCAUUCACAACAACUUUUUAGCUGCUACAUUCAUUUGCUAAAGCCACUGCAAUAUUAAUAUUGAUCUGCCUGAAGUAGCAAGAAAUUUAUACCUUCCGAUACUAUUAUAUUCAGUUCUCCACAAAUCCUCUUUAGUUACUGCAAGGUAGCACAGAGAUAUCAUCAAUUUCAGCGAUCAAAAAGAUAAACUUUCCUCAAACUUUGCAAUUAGCAAGAUCUGUGAAACACAUUGACAAAGCUAGCCAUAAUAUUUCAGUCACAAUCAAGUUAUAAAACAGGUGUAGCCAAUGAAAUACAUCUACUCCACUGCUUAUAUCAGUUCUUUGCCCUGAUAUACACUUCUUUACCUUCGUUUACUCACUGUUAAACCUGACUGCCUAUGGUAGCACUAAGGUACCCUUUUAUUCGUUUCUGCAUGUUUAUUCCAACCUUUGGUAGUUGAUCAAGGAUAUGAACUAUGUUAUUUGGUGUGAGCUUCAAAAAUUUGUCGCUCUCUUUUUUCCAUUUUAAAAUCCAUCUUUUAUUUUUUUGGUAGCAUUUUUGAACACAAUUUGUACUAAGCUUUCAUUCGAUCAACCAAACACAUUAAGCAAUAGGUUCUAAGACAUUAAACGCAAGUAUGACAAGCUACUAACUAGCUGAUCACAUAUUUAUACAAUCCAAGACAUUCUCUUCACUUCUCCAAUCUUUGACCACAUAUAUUCUUCGUAUUUCAAAACCAAAUCAACUACAGCAAUGAAUUUGCAAUCAUACUUCUGAAUUUCUUCUUCAAUUUGCUACCUUACUGUACUUUUAAUUUAAAAGUCUACAAUAGACAGUUAAUUGAGAAUGGUUGAAAACUUCACAAAUUUUGUCAUCUGCAUUUUGCUACAGGAAUAUCAUAUGCAAAGAGUAAUUUGCUCUGGAUAAUGUUUGUAUGAAGUAAUUUGCUCAAUAUCCUUAGAGUCAUUUACAUGUGCAGUAAUCCGAGGUACUAGCCUUGCACAAAGUCAAAGAACAUCCAGUAUGAUCAUCUUCUGUUUGCAGUUGGACUUUGUCACCAACUCAUUGAUAUUACAUAAUCAGUUAUAGGCCCAGUGACACAUUGUAACCCUCCACUUGAAUUCAUUUAUUGUAAUGGAAAAAUUGUGCCUGACCUCAAAUGGAAGUUGGUAAGGUGUACUUGAGCUCAAAACGUAUGUAAAGACAGUUACACCGGAAUGAGAUGGAGAUUCAAUUAGAACAUUACUUCAUACAAACAUUGUGCUAUAUAAUGUUAUCAAAUCAACAAUAUUCUUAUG